rnacentral:lncRNA from 1 species
AUAAUACAAUGGUUGAAUGCCAUACAAGUGAGAGAUUUAUUCAGCUACAAAACCUGGUUUAAAAGACCAUUGUAUAUAUCAGAAAAUAUUUAUGGUGUGUUUGAUAUUUUGAUUAAUUUCAUUUGUUAAGCGACUUUCCAUUGAGAAAUUUCCUCGGAACUUGGUAUUUUUGUAAUUUUACUUUUAUUUUACACUUUAUUCUUUUGAUGCCGUUGUAUAACUAAAACCCAUUACAAUACAUUGUUUUGCACUUUAUUUUAACUUACAAGCUCUCGAUAUAUUGUUAUAAGUAAAAGAGUCCGAACAGACGCAACACAUUCAAGCAAAAUAAGUUCUCUUGUAAAAAACAUGUAGGUUAGCGACAAACAUUGAUCAUUCCAAAUAGUUUCUUUUACAAGUCGGCAUUGUAAGUAUAGCAAAAUUUAACAAAAACAGUUUUCUAUCAUGCUUUUGUGUUAACGUACAGUUUUCUCUAUAGUAUAGGUU